rnacentral:rRNA from 1 species
GUGGGGAAUAUUGCGCAAUGGGCGAAAGCCUGACGCAGCAACGCCGCGUGAGGGAUGAAGGCCUUCGGGUUGUAAACCUCUUUUAGCAGGGAAGAAGCGAAAGUGACGGUACCUGCAGAAAAAGCACCGGCUAACUACGUGCCAGCAGCCGCGGUAAUACGUAGGGUGCAAGCGUUAUCCGGAAUUAUUGGGCGUAAAGAGCUCGUAGGCGGUUUGUCGCGUCUGCUGUGAAAAUCUGAGGCUCAACCUCGGACUUGCAGUGGGUACGGGCAGACUAGAGUGCGGUAGGGGAGAAGGGAAUUCCUGGUGUAGCGGUGGAAUGCGCAGAUAUCAGGAGGAACACCAAUGGCGAAGGCACUUCUCUGGGCCGUAACUGACGCUGAGGAGCGAAAGCGUGGGGAGCGAACAGGAUUA